AAUUCGAUUAACGCGAAGAACCUUACCUGGUCUUGACAUCCACAGAACUUUCCAGAGAUGGAUUGGUGCCUUCGGGAACUGUGAGACAGGUGCUGCAUGGCUGUCGUCAGCUCGUGUUGUGAAAUGUUGGGUUAAGUCCCGCAACGAGCGCAACCCUUAUCUUUUGUUGCCAGCGGUCCGGCCGGGAACUCAAAGGAGACUGCCAGUGAUAAACUGGAGGAAGGUGGGGAUGACGUCAAGUCAUCAUGGCCCUUACGACCAGGGCUACACACGUGCUACAAUGGCGCAUACAAAGAGAAGCGACCUCGCGAGAGCAAGCGGACCUCAUAAAGUGCGUGUAGUCCGGAUUGGAGUCUGCAACUCGACUCCAUGAAGUCGGAAUCGCUAGUAAUCGU
rnacentral:rRNA from 1 species